UACGAAGGGGGCGAGCGUUGUUCGGAUUUACUGGGCGUAAAGGGCGCGUAGGCGGCGCUCCAAGUUAGGCGUGAAAGCCCCGGGCUCAACCUGGGAAUUGCGCUUAAGACUGGAGUGCUCGAGUGCGGAAGAGGUGAGUGGAAUUCCCAGUGUAGAGGUGAAAUUCGUAGAUAUUGGGAAGAACACCAGUGGCGAAGGCGGCUCACUGGUCCGCAACUGACGCUGAGGCGCGAAAGCGUGGGGAGCAAACAGG
rnacentral:rRNA from 1 species